rnacentral:rRNA from 1 species
GCGCAGCAGUCGAGAAACCUCCGCAAUACACGAAAGUGUGACGGGGCCAUCCCGAGUGCCGUCCGCUGAGGACGGCUUUUCCCCAGUGUACACAGCUGGGGGAAUAAGGAGAGGGCAAGCCUGGUGUCAGCCGCCGCGGUAAUACCAGCUCUCCGAGUGGUGGGGACGCUUAUUGGGCCUAAAGCAUCCGUAGCCGGCUGGGCAAGUCCUCCGUUAAAUCCAACGAUUCAAUCGUUGGGCUGCGGGGGAUACUGUCCAGCUUGGGGGCGGGAGAGGCCGACGGUAUUCCCGGGGUAGGGGUGAAAUCCUAUAAUCCCGGGAGGACCACCAGUGGCGAAGGCUGUCGGCUAGAACGCGCCCGACGGUGAGGGGAUGAAAGCUGGGGGAGCGAACCGGAUUAGAUACCCGU